CCUUAAUAGUAGCCGUUGUCAAGUACGCUUUUCAUUCCAAUAGUGGCUCUUGAACUGAACACCAGUUAGGAUUAGAACAACCAGGCAACAGAUCAAUUCAACAUGAACGUCUGGAAAGCAACCAUUAGUGCAAUUAUUAUGGCAUUUGUUAUUUUAUGUGACCAUACUGUGGCUUCAAUUAAUCGGGAUGCUAUUUAUGGAAAUAUAGAAUUGCCAACGAGAGGUUCCGAACAAACAGAUAUUGAAAACGAGGCUGGAAACAGUGCUACAUGUAAAUUAUGCGCAAACGACGAUAUUGGUCUCAAAUAUAUAUGUCAAUCUUUCACACCUGAUGUUGACGGAUGUAUGAUGUAUGCCCUUAACAGUCUGCACAAAGCUUACAAAGCUGACUUGAAGGGUUCUUUCAGACGUACACGAAAACAGUUCUCCGUUAACGGUGCACUGUCCUCGAUCGCCAGUAUGCUCAAUGGAGAACAAACGAGAAGCAGAGACGCACUUCUGAGAUCCAGAAUUCAAAUGAUGGGUUAAUUCCAUUAAACUGUUACCUGUCAUAUACUGAAACAUUAUACUUUAAAAUAUUUUUUACAUCCUGUUUAUUGCUCACUGUUGUGGCAUUGCACAUUGGCACAUGAUUGAAGUAUUUUAUUUUCAUUUCAAUUUAAGAUAUGAAAUUAACACUGGCUCACACUGUUCAUGACCAAGGGAUAUACUAUUUGUAACGAACAAUAUACUAAAUGAUUCAUCAAUGUACUUAUACCAGCUGUUUGAGUUAUUAUUUGUUUACAAAUGAUAAGCCAUUUUGUUUCAUAUUUUUCAUCAUCAAGAGACUUGUAAUAUUUAUUUUUUCUGUGACAAUCUAUUUUUUAUUUCUUAUAUUUUAAGUUGAAAAUAAUUUACUAGAUUACUAACGAACUGAUUAUCAUAAAAAACUGUGUAAUUUUUCCGAGUUUCUUUGCCCAUAUCUUUAUAUGUAGGAAUUUUGAUUGCAGACAAACCGUCGACAUAUUUUUAAUGUAUGUAAUAUGUUCUUAUUGCAAAGAGGCAUCAGACAUUGAUAAUCCUUUUAGCACAUUCACCUGAAUCGUUCUAAGGUCACAUUGUUCAAUAAAAAAUUGUAAAACACCCUA